rnacentral:rRNA from 1 species
GACGAACGCUGGCGGCGUGCUUAACACAUGCAAGUCGAGCGGUAAGGCCUCUUCGGGGGUACACGAGCGGCGAACGGGUGAGUAACACGGGGGUGACCUGCCCUCAGCUCUGGGAUAAGCCUGGGAAACUGGGUCUAAUACCGGAUAUGACCUUUCCUCGCAUGGGGUUUGGUGGAAAGUUUUUUCGGCUGGGGAUGGGCCCGCGGCCUAUCAGCUUGUUGGUGGGGUGAUGGCCUACCAAGGCGACGACGGGUAGCCGGCCUGAGAGGGCGACCGGCCACACUGGGACUGAGACACGGCCCAGACUCCUACGGGAGGCAGCAGUGGGGAAUAUUGCGCAAUGGGCGGAAGCCUGACGCAGCGACGCCGCGUGGGGGAUGACGGCCUUCGGGUUGUAAACCUCUUUCGACCCCGACGAAUUUGGACGGUAGGGGUAGAAGAAGCACCGGCCAACUACGUG